UCCCUGGUGGCUCAGAUGGUAAAGCGUCUGCCUGCAAUGCAGGAGACCCGGGUUUGAUUCCUGGGUUGGGAA
rnacentral:tRNA from 1 species